rnacentral:lncRNA from 1 species
UCAUAUCCUAAUUACUUGUAUCAUUGUCUCCGAAUAAACGUAACCUAAGCUCUAAGCUCAAAUGCCACUCUGUCACAUCCUACUGAUCUUACAUAAAAUUUUAAUAUCUCUUCAUAAUCUCUAAUGAUCUUAAACCUAAGCUUUGAUAUUAUUCUAUCACAUCCUAAUCAUUUAUAUCGUAAUUUCCAAUGAUCAUAACCUAAGCUCUAAUAUCACUAUGUAAUAUUCUAAUCACUUAUAUCAUAAUCCCUAAUGAUCAUAACCUGAGCUCUGAUACCAUUCUGUCACGCCCCGAACCCAACACCCGGGUCAGAUACGUGAUGGCCUCACACUCCUUAGAGCAAGCCCUAAAGAAUAUGCAAGGCCAAAAAUAAAUCAUUACAAUCUUAACAUCCAUACCAUUAAUUUCAAUAAUAAUUCGUAAAACCUUGCAUAAUUACAAAUUAAAUUUUUUCAAUCCUCUGAUCAGGUACUAUGACACUCUAUCUAUCCAUCUGCUCACCCAUAAAUCUAAGCCAUAGCCAAUCAUGAACGUCCUGUAUCUCUGAGAAGAAAAGAAAAAUGAAAGGGUGUGAGCUUUACAGCCCAGUAAGAAUUCCUAUAUCACACUGAUAUAGUAAUAUUGUCUGAAAAUAAGGAUAAGCAAUAAAAUAUAAAAUCUCAUGUUCAAUGUCCAGAAUAAUACAAAUAUUUAUAAAUUUUCUGUCUUGUUAAAAUAGAUGCAUCAUCAUAUGUUAACAGGUGAAACACUUUUAUUCAAUAAUUAUUUCAUGUCUUAUCUUUCAUUUCUCCUUUCAUAAUCACAUGAUUCUUAACAGUUUCUUUCCGGCUCUGGACUAUCCAAGUCUAUACCUCAGUCAUCAUCUGGAUCGAAUCCACUUAAAAAGUCUUUCAAGACUAUCCCAGGAUGAGCUCCUGGCCGGCUGUCCCACGUACCAAAGCCCGUGAGAGGCUGUCCCAGGCAUAAGCUCCUGGCGGGCUGUCCCAGGCAUGAGCUCCUGGCCGGCUGAUCCACCUNNNN